rnacentral:miRNA from 1 species
GUGGGCUGGGGAAGGGCUGCUGGGU